rnacentral:rRNA from 1 species
UACGUAGGGUGCAAGCGUUGUCCGGAAUUAUUGGGCGUAAAGAGCUCGUAGGCGGUCCGUCACGUCGGCUGUGAAAACUCGGGGCUCAACCCCGAGCCUGCAGUCGAUACGGGCGGACUAGAGUCCGGCAGGGGAGACUGGAAUUCCUGGUGUAGCGGUGAAAUGCGCAGAUAUCAGGAGGAACACCGGUGGCGAAGGCGGAUCUCUGGGCCUUACCUGACGCUCAGGCACGAAAGCUAGGGGAGCGAACAGG